UUUACUGGAUGCUGAGUGAGUAUGUUUAACUUGGUAGUUUUAGGUAACCAUGUUCUUUCCUGUGACAAUCCCUCUAUUGCGUAAUGUCUACUUCAAUAUUUGAAAACAAAAAAACUUACUAUUUAGUGCUUAUGUUUGUAAUUUUGCACAACUUGUUUGCUGAUUGAUCUAACAAAAAGUGGCUUCCUCUGCAAUUGUCCUGGUAGAUUGUGUCUAUUCUUUUUUGUUAGUAUUUUUUUGAGGGAAUCAGGAGGGGCUGACCCCUAUUAUAAAUUUAUAUAAAGAACAGAAAAAGCUCCAAAUGAGUUUUAGGAAACAAAAAAGGUAACAAACAUAGUAAUUGUACACAUGUCUUGCAGGUGAAGCUAAAAUAAAGAGUAGAAUUCCAUAUCAUAAAAUGAUUUUAGAUAGUGUGUAAUACUUUUAAAUGAUCAUUGAUAUAUGUAACCAUAAAUUAAUGGGUAUCACCAGUUUGGUGGCUAGUUUCCUUAUCAUCCAUUAAUAAUGUGAAUUGCUAUGGUUGUGAUUCACAGACAUGUUCUUGGUAUUGAUAUUGACCCACAGUCACUUGAACUUGCUCAAGAAAAUGCUGCUGAUCUGGAGGUAUGACAAUGUUUUUGUUUUUCAGUUUUCCACUUUAACUAUUCCUUUACUCUGAAUUGGAGAACCCUUCACUUUAUUUCCCCGCUUGUGUUUUAACCUGUUAAUGGUUCUGACUUGUAUCAAU
rnacentral:lncRNA from 1 species